rnacentral:lncRNA from 1 species
CCGGCCUUCCAGUCCGCGCCUGGGCUGAGCCCGCGGGGCCCCGGGCCCCUGCGAACCAUUCUGGGCGGGGCGGGAGGCGAAGGCGGCCCUGGUCCGCGCUCGCCGGGUGAGUUCGUGGCGCAGGCCUAGGCGGGACCCGUACCCCACGUUUGGGGCCUCCGCAGUAUGCGGACGCCACGUCGGCGUUGUCACUGACCCGGCCGGAACCCAGCCUUGAGAAGCGCGAGCUGUGGGGGCCACGUCUCGCGGCGGGGUACGACGAGGGUGACCGGGUAGAGAGGGUAGCCUGGAGGAAAGAGACUACAGCUCAGACAGGCACAUCAAGAAUUCU